UGGAAUGAGCAGCUAGGGCAGCUGAUU
rnacentral:piRNA from 1 species